rnacentral:lncRNA from 1 species
AACCAUACUUCAAAUUUAGCUCUUUUCUAACUCGGCCCUAUACAUGUCAUAUAAACCAUAAAAUGUAUAACAAAAUCUACUGGAGCAAACUAGAUAGUGUGGCUCUAUGUGUUGAUCCGAUGCUUUAAACUUCUUAAAAAUCUAAAAAGAACAUUAAACGACACAGUAAGUUUAAUGAAGCUUAGCAAGUUCGCUGGCUUUAAAUAUAAAUCUUACCGAACAUACUAUAAUAAUUUAUUUAGGUAAAUUAUUUCACAAACAUUUCCUGCCAAUCACAACUUCAAUUAAUGAAUUCACUCAUUUGAGCUCAAUAUCAAUAAUAACUUAAAUUCUUCCACAUUAAUUCCAUUUGGCACUUACCAAUCAUUAUCAAACCAGAGAACGUCUUACGGAUUUGAGUACAUCGUAAAUAGAAAUCCAUAAGGGUUCAUCUAAAGCUCAAAAGAGUUAAACGGAAACCCAUUAGGGUUAAAUUGAAGCUCAAAAGAGCUAAACUGAAAUCCAGAAGCGUUAAUUUGAAACUCAUGAGUUUACUGAAGCUCGUGAGAGCUAAACGGAAAGCAAAUACGAGAGUUCGCAACAAAUGUUGAACAUCGGUUUACUUGGGUAAUUUUACCGUCAAUUCCUAUUUUGCACUAAACGACUAUACUCAAUCCUACGUUCCAUUCACUUCAAACACUUGAUGCAAUUUCAUAAAUUUAACAAUAAUUUUAUUUUCAACAAAUGUUACGAAUAAAUACAAAAAAUCAUUCAUCAAUUAACAUAUCACAUUAAAUUUUAACCAUUAGAACUUACCUGGGUUAAAUUGUGGAAAUUGUAAUGGUUCAGAGAUUAUUUGGCUAUUUUCCCAUUUUUCGCGUUGGUCUAAGGGCUCUUGAUCUAAAAUAUAAAAUUAUUAAUUCAUUAGCACAUGCUUCAAUUCUAAUUCACUUCACAAUUUAUACCACUCAAUUUUUGAAAUUAUACAAUUACCUCAACUUUUACAGUUUUUGUAAUUUAGUCCAUCGCCAAUUAACUCAUCAAAUAAGCUAAUUUUUCUCAAGUAACACUUUAUCUAAAUAUUUUAAACUAUUACACAGCCUUUGAUAAACAUAAUUUAAUACUAAACCCUAAGAUUUAAUUUUUUUACAAUUUGGUCCUAAAAUCAAUUUCCCUUGAAAGCACUUGAUAAAAUCAUCAUAUAACAAAAUUAAAACUUCAAAUCCAUGUUAAUUCAUCAUAAAAAUGCAGCACUCAUCAAUGGUAGCUUUCAAGAUUACUCAUAAAAUCAAAAACUAAUGAAUUAGAUAGUUAGACCUAAUUACAGAAGUCUUAAAAACACAAAUUUUAAGAAAAGAGCAAGAAUUGAACUCACAUGUAGCAAAAUAUGAAAUCCAACUUCUUAAGGGUUCUUCAAUGGUGUUUUUAGCUGAUAAAUUGAAGAAGAAUAACUUAGAAAAGUUGAGAAUUCAAUUUAUUUAAGUUUAUUUCACAAAAUUUACAAUUUUGCCCUUUAAUCACAUGAUUUUUGUUUUCUUUUCUGCUUAUGCCGCCUCAGGCCUUUGUUUUAGGCAUAAUUGCUCCUUAAGUCCUUCUUUGUUCAUUAAUUAAGUCAUUUAAUCAUUAUUUCUUUAAUUAGCAAGUUUUGCACCUUUUUCUAAUUUAAUCUUUUUUAAUUAAUUAACUAUCGAAACGUUAAAAUUUUCUAACGAAAUAUUUAUAAAAAUAUUUACAGCUCAGUUUAUAAAAUCGAGAUCUUGAUACCUCGUUUUCAAAACUAGUUAAUCUAACAAAUAUUUCUAAAGCAUAAAUCACUAAUUCAUAAGCCUUCUUAAAUUCAGAAUCGAAUCAAAAACACUAUAUAAUAAAAUUUAUGAAUUAAUUUAUCGGAUUUAGUGUUCUCAAACUACUAUUUUCGAAACUACUGAAAAUUGGACUGUUACAAAAACUCUAUAAAAAUACGGAAAGGAGAAAUUUUGAGGUUUCAUAAUCUGUUUGCAUAAAUCAAUGAGCAAAUUCAGAAUUUAUUUCCAAUUAUUCCCUCUCAACAAAAGGAAUGGUGAAUGUCUAGUUGACUUCAAGCCCAAUAAAUAUGGGUGAAAUGGGUCGAGCUUACAACGAAGCUAGGAACAUCUUUGAUGCGAAUAUGGCAAUUUAUGAGGAGGAGAAUAACCCAAUAAAAUAAAGUGAUGGGCUAAAAAGACCUUUUUUUAAGUCUACUUCAGGAGUUUCUAAUAAGGAAGAUUUGAAUGAAGUUUCGGGUACUCUAUUACAGGUACCAAAUUCUAGUAGAUCGCCAGGCCCUGCUAAGUGGGCUAGUCGGAUGCAAUGAAGCUGUUGAGUUGGAACAUUCAGGUAAAGGGGAGGUCUUGGACAGUUUGUUGUCUCCAGCAUAUGCUGAGAGAUAUAAAUCUCUCUAUAGUGUUCCUAAUUGAGAUGAAACUAUAGGGUUUUAAUAUGGAAGGAACAAGACGCAAAUGUGGAUUUCUUAAUGGGAUGGAUGUUGAUUCAUAUGGUAGAAGUGAGGGUUUAUCAAUGGGUUGGAGUAGCGAUUAUAAGAUUUGUCUUCGGUCUUUUUCGAGAAGGGACAUUGGCAUUAUGAUUGAUAAGGAUACUGAUGGUAAAACUUGGUGAUGUACGGGGUUUUAUGAAGUGCCCGAGGAGAAUCUGAGGAGGCAUCGUAAAAUUUAUUGCAUUCUUUAGAUGACUGCCCACAUAUCCCUAUGUUUGUAAUAGGGGAUUUUAAUGAAAUAGCUUAUUCAUCUGAAAAGAAAGGUGGAUUACUUCAGAGGGAGAGACAAAUGAGAAGAUUUUGGGAAGCUCUUUAUGAUUGCUCUCUUACAGAUUUGGGCUAUAGAGGACAAUGGUUUACCUGGGAAAAAGGUCGUACUCGAGCAAACAAUAUUAGGAAACGUUUGGAUCAAAGGGUAGCUAAUGCAGUUUGAUGGGAUUUAUUUCAAAAUUACAAAAUGCAUCAUCUCACGCAUUCUUUUUUAUUGCAAUCAGAUUUUGAAAAUAAUCAUGCGAAAUGGUGUCACUUCAAGUUCGAGGUUGCGUGGCUUUUGGAAGAAACGUGUGAGUCAAAUGUUCUAAAAUUAUAGACUGAAAAUUUGGGUGAUGUCCUUAAUAGAUUGAAGGUGUUUGGUGUGGGCCUUAAAGCGUGGUUCAAAAGGAUUAAAAAGAUAGGGGUUUGUCGAAAAAAGAUCUUAAGAAGCAAUUCAUUAAGUUGAACAAAUCAUACCUAACUGAUGAGGUGUUGGGUGAUAUUGUUGAGAUAAAACUAGCCCUUAAUAUGGAGGCCGGUAGGGAGGAACUCUACUGGGAACAAAGAGCCAGAGCUAAUUGGAUGAAAAAUGGUGACCGAAACACAAAAAUUGCAACAAAAAGAAGACGAAGGAAUAUGAUGGAUAAACUACUAGAUUUUGAUGAAAAUUAUUAUAAGAGCAAUGAGGAGCAGUUGUCACUUGCCACUGACUACUUUGCCUCUCUAUUCACUUCAACUAGAAUCGAAAAUCCAGGUUCUAUAUUAGAAGGGGUUGAGCCGUGCAUUACUCGAGCAAUGAACGAGGAACUUGCAAAGGAUUUUUCUUACGAGGAUAUUUGUAUGGCGUUAAAAUCAUGAAUACAUUAAAGACUUCUGGUGAGGAUGACUUGGGUGCAAUUUUUUAUCAAUGGUUUUGGCAUAUUAUGGGUAAAGAGGUAGCAAAUUAUUGUAUUGAGAUUUUAAAUGGAGGCACAAUAUCGCUGAAAUCAACCAGACACAAAUUGUUUUAAUCCCUAAGGUUAGCUGUCCAUGAAUUAUGGCUCUAUUUAAACCGAUUAGCCGUUAUAAUACCCUUUACAAAAUUAUUGCAAAAAUGCUAGUGAAUAGGUUUUAAAAAGUCUUUCACUAUUGUAUAGAUGAGGUACAAAGUGCAUUUGUACCAGGGAGGCUUAUCACUGAUAAUAUUUUAGUUGUCUAUGACGUUUUACACUCCAUGAAAAAGAAAAAGAAAAAGAUAAGAGAUGAAGGGUCUUUUGCUUUGAAGCUUAACAUGAGUAAAACGUAUAAUAGACUAAAGUGUGCGCUCAUUAAUGUCAUGCUUAGCCGAAUGAGUUUCUCGAAGUUGUGGGUUCAGAAAAUUAUGAGAUGUAUUGAAAUGAUUUCUUAUUCUGUGGUUAUGAGCGGAGAGGUGGGUAAUUUGUUUCUUCCUUAUCGGGGGCUUAAACAAGGGGGCCCACUUAAUCCUUAUUUAUUUCUUAUUUGGGGAAGGUCUGUCAUCUUUUCUUAGAAUGGCUGCUACAAGUGGGGAUCUCAAGGGUGCUUGCAUUAAGAGACACGCUCCAGUUAGCACCCACUUGUUAUCUUUGCAAAUGACAGUCUUAUCUUUGGAAAGGCCACAACAGAUGGGGCUAUGGUGCUUAAUGAAAGACUGGAGAUUUAUGCCAAUAGUUUGGGUCAAUUAAUAAUUUUUGAUAAGUCUGGUAUGUUUUUAGUUCCAAUGUUGAGUAGAAUAGCAAAAAAGAGGUUUAUCGAAUUUUAGGGGUUAAUCCAAACAUUAAUCCAGAAAAGUAUAUUGGUCUCCUUUAAAUCGUGGGGCAAAACAAAAAGAGGGCUUUUAGGGAGAUAAAAGAAAAUCUAAUUAAAAGAGUGUUUAGUUAGAGUUCGAGAAUGCUUUCGGUGGGUAUAAAAGAGGCCCUUAUCAAAAUAGUAUUUCAGGGAGUUCCCAUGUAUACCAUUUCUUAUUUCUUGAUGCCCAAUUCCUUUUGUAAGGAACUUGAAACUGUUAUUGCUAGAUUUUGGUGACAGAAGAAAGCUGGGAGGAAUGGUUUACAUUGGAGUUCUUGGAAACCAUUGUGUAUUCCAAAAGAGGAUAAAGGUAUGGGUUUCCGUAAUCUUUCUAAAUUUAAUAUUUCUUUAUUAGCAAAACAAUGUUAGAGAUUGAUGGAAAAUCCAGGCUCGUUAACAAGAUUAAUUCGAGAAAAAUAUUAUCACGGUUUAAAUUUUCUAGAAGCCCCAUUGGGCUCAUACCCGUCCCUAAUUUGGAAAAGUAUAUGGUGUUCCAAAGCUUUGUUAAAAUCUGGUAUUGGAUGAAGGAUUGGUUCUGGGCUAUCUAUCUUGAUAUGGCAAGACUAUUGGUUACCGAGGAAGAAUAGAGCACUAAUUACUACAAACAAGGUAGCAAGAUUGGAAUGUGUAAGUGAUUUGAUUCUCCCAAACCCAAAUAGAAGAGAUCGACAAUUAAUCUACUCAACUUUCACGGAGGAAGAAGGAAAUUUGAUUGUAAGAAUCCCUAUACCUAUCACUAAUCAAUCUGAUAAAGUAAUAUGGUCUAGAGAAAAAUCAGGUUUUUAUUCAGUAAAAAGCAGUCACAAAGCCUUCAUCGAACUUCUCAUUUGAGUACUAUUGAGCAAUAUAAUUUUAAGCAAAUUUGGAGUUUAACGUGCCUAUCAAAAAUUCACAUUUUAAUGUGAAAAUUUGCAAAUAUAUAUAUUCCUACUUUCCAGAAUUUGCAUUAUAGAAGAAUUUUGUCAGAGAAUAGUUACCCGCGCUGUCAGGAUUGUAGUAAAUCACAUGUUCAUGUUGCUCGAUACUGUGCAUUCACUAUGCAUGUUUGAUCAAAAUUAAAUUAUCAGUGGCCAAGUUCAAUGCGUCUAUGAGUUUUAACAACUGGUUAAACUGGCUAUUCAUAAAUUCAUCCAGUAACAGUAAAGGGGAAAUAGCCAUUACAAUUUGGGCAAUCUGAUUUUCCCGCAACAAACUGAUACAUGAAAGAAAAGUACAAAGUGUGGAGGAAGUUGUUACCUUUAUCAGGGGUUAUGGCAGGGAGUACAAGAGGCGUUUUGGAAUAUUACAACACCCCUGACCCAGAUAGUUGAUAAAAUGGGAGCCCCCCCUACGAAUUGGGUCAAAGUGAAUGUUGACGUCGGUUUCUCAGAGGCAAAACAACAUGCAACAUUGGGUUUCUUAAUUAGAAAUGAUGAAGGUCUUAAAAUAGGGUCGGGAAUCAGAACUCAUAACCUAGUUAGAUCGGUGGUGUUGGCUAAAGCGAUGGCUGCUCUUCACGGGCUCUAGUUUGCGUUGGAGAUGGGUUUCACGAAAAUUAUUUUGGAAAGUGACUCUAAAACAAUUAUUAAAAACCUCCAAGCAACAAAGGAAGACUAUUCAGAGAUAAGACCGAUUACUUGGGAUGUGAAGGCUCUUACAAUGAAAUUUUCUUCAUGUCAUUUUGAGUUCGUUGCGGGAGAAGGUAACGCAGUGGCGCAUGCGAUGGCGGUCGAAGGGAUGAGAAGAUCAGAAGACUCGUUCUGGGUUGAAGAUGCCCUAUUAAAAGCGAUGGAAAUGGCAGAUUUGGAUCGUCUUUUCAUCUGGCCACCAUAAUUUCCCUCCUCUGCUGCUCGCUGCUCUGGGUUGAGAACUUCUGAUAUUCUAAAGGUAUAUCUCAACUCCCUUCCAUUGUUUGCUAGUUCUGAUUACCAGAUCUCGCAAGGUUUUGGCUGUUUGGGUUUUCUGGUCACUGAAGGGUUUGGAAGAAGCUUCUAGAGUUGCAUCAUGUUUUAUUUUCUUUAUUUUAUCUGUUUGAACUUCAUUUUCUAUCUGCUUUUGUUUUGGACUUCCAAGCCCAUUUUAAUCAAAAUGAACCGUUUAUUCAAAAAAAAAAAUAACUUUUUGACAAAAAAAAUACUUUUAAGCAAAAGCUAAAAAUUUUUAGUUUUGCUUUUGAUAAAAAAAAUAAUUUUGUAAAAUAUUUUUUUAUCUCAAAAAUAUUUUUAAAAAGCUCAAAAGUAUAUUGUUUAGUAAUAUUUUCAAAUCAAAA